rnacentral:rRNA from 1 species
UACGGAGGGGGCAAGCGUUGAUCGGAAUUACUGGGCGUAAAGGGCUCGUAGGCGGCCAACUGAGUCGGAUGUGAAAUCCCCAGGCUUAACCUGGGAACUGCAUCCGAUACUGGAUGGCUUGAAUCCGGGAGAGGGAUGCAGAAUUCCAGGUGUAGCGGUGAAAUGCGUAGAUAUCAGGAGGAACACCAAUGGCGAAGGCAGCUCGCUGGGACGGUACUGACGCUGAGGCGCGAAAGCGUGGGGAGCAAACAGG